CGAUGGCCGCAGGCAGGUAUUGCGCAGUGGGCACCCCGGCAUGGAUGCCGGGGUAGCCGCGACACGGCCAUGGAUGGCCGAUCGCGGCGGGCCCACGGAGCAAUGCCUGCCUGCGGGCAUGC
rfam:Pseudomonas brenneri strain RGCB 108 Contig028, whole genome shotgun sequence.